GAUGAACGCUAGCGGCAGGCCUAAUACAUGCAAGUCGAACGAGCUUAGUCCUUUCGGGAACUAGGUUAGUGGCGCACGGGUGCGUAACGCGUAUGCAACCUACCUUCCACUGGGGGAUAUCCCACCGAAAGGUGGAUUAAUACCACAUGACACAUUUGUGUGGCAUCACCUGAUUGUCAAAGCUGAGGCGGUGGAAGAUGGGCAGGCGUGCCAGUAGCUAGUUGGUAGGGUAACGGAGUCCCAAGGCGACGGUGGCUAGGGGUGCUGAGAGGGUGGUCCCCCACACGAGUAAUGAGCCACAGACCAGACGCCGACAGGAGGCAGCAGUAGGGAAUAUUGGGCAAUGGCCGAGAGGCUGACCCAGCCAUGCCGCGUGCAGGAAGAAGGCCUUCUGGGUUGUAAACUGCUUUUAUCUAGGAAGAAAACGCACUUGCGAGGGUACCUGACGGUACUAGAUGAAUAAGCACCGGCUAACUCCGUGCCAGCAGCCGCGGUAA
rnacentral:rRNA from 1 species